GGACUGUAGGCUGCAACUCGCCUACACGAAGUUGGAAUUGCUAGUAAUCGUGGAUCGGCAUGCCACGGUGAAUACGUUCCCGGGUCUUGUACACACCGCCCGUCACACCAUGGGAGCUGGUAACACCCGAAGUCAGUAGUCUAACCGCAAGGAGGACGCUGCGAAGGUGGGAUUAGCGACUGGGGUGAAGUCGUAACAAGGUACC
rnacentral:rRNA from 1 species